UUUUUCUUUUCUUAAAUUCUCGACUUUAACGCUAAGCUUAAGGAAGAAAAAUAAAUCUACUUAAUCAUUUUUAAUUUAACAUUCUAAAUUUUUCUCUAUUUAACGUUAUCUCAUGCAUCAUAUAUUUGAUAACAAGAAAAUCUGAUAGCAUAAGAAAUUUGUUCAUUCAUUAUUUUAUUCGUGUACAUGCAUUGUACUCAAUUCAAGCGGGAAAGAAAAUGAAUGGAUCAAUUGUAUUUUGAGAAAAUGACAAAAUCACUUUUAUUUUAUGGUAGAUGUAAAAUAGUUUCUUAAAUAUGCAUUGAACCAUUUUGAUUCUUUGAAUCGUCAAAAGUUAAUAGUUUUAAAUUUCAUCAUAUAUUGAUCUAACUCUGUCUAUAAGAUUGAAACUAUAGUUUUUUUGAAAAAAAAAAAAGAAAUUGGGGGUAACUCAUAUUUAGAGGUACAAUUUUGAUAUUCAUCUCACUACUCAAAAGCUUUGAAUAUUCUAAUCGAAAUCUUGCUUCUAGUUUUAAUUUAUUUCUUGAGUUUGGUUAAACUUAUUGAUGUGUAAAUUUAUGUUGUUUGUUAUAUCUUCUUAGGGAUUGUUUGGUUGGAAAAUAAUUUAAUCCGAAAUUUAUUAUCCCUGAAUUAAUUAUUUCAAAAUUAAUUAUCCUACCUUUAAGGUGAGAUAAAAAUAACAUUACAAUUUUGAUAACUAAUUCAGAAAUAAGUUGUUCAUGCAUUUUAGCCCUACUAAAAAUAAGAUAAGUUCAUCCUAAAAAUAAAUUCUGAGAUUACUUAUCCCUUAUUUCUUAUACAAAACAAGUCCUUAAUAUUUUGUGUAAUAUUUUGUGUUGCAUACUUUAAGAUUUGAUGGACUUUUUUUUAUUUGUAUGAAUCCUUUUCCUUUCAUUACAUUGUCAAAUCUAACAAAUAUAAAUUGUUAAAUAUUUUAUGUUGAUAAAAUAUUAAUUUUUGAUAAAAAACCAAAGAAUCAAAAUUAUUCUUUGCAUAGCUACAAAGCUAUAUACUGAACCUAUCUUUAUUCUUCCUCCGUUAAUUGUUACGUUUAUUAAGAAAAAUAAUAAUUAACAUGAGUAUUUUGCAAUACAUCUUUAUUGAUGUUUAGUACUCGCUUUAUGAUAAUGUUAAUUUUUAUGAAUGAUUUGGUACUUGUUUUCUUUGCAGAAAUUUAGAAAAAAAAUAUUCAAAUAUCUCCUAGUCAAUUCUCAAGAAGGAAGAAGUAUCUUAGAAGAUUUCAAAAAGGAAGAACAAUUGAUGCAUUUAAUGAAGAGCAUAAUUCAUGGGAUUGUCGAGUCUCUCUCUAUUUUAUUUAGUUAGCUUUUUCUUUUUAGUCAUUACUUAUUCUUGAAAAUUGAAUAUUCAUUAUUCCUUUUCCUAAGAAGAAAAAUCUUUUGGGUUGCAUUCUAUACUUAUCUUCCAACAGCUAGUAGUAGUCCAAUCACUACUAUUUAAGCAAUGAAACACAAAGAAGAGAUAUUGUAACGCCCCGAAAUUGGGUUCCGAAACGUCACACGGUGCUUAGGGGCAUAAGUGACCUCAAGCUAACCCUCCUACUGGCAUAACUCAUAAUCAACUAGAUAAAAUGCUUAAAUCUAUGUAAAAUCAGCGAAAACAUAGAACUUCUGUGAACUUGAUCAAUAUAAACAUGAACUUUACAAGAUUACAACUCUACUUUUACCAAACGAAACAGAAAUUGAAUACAUCAACUUAUACUGACUGUCUAUGAAGCCUCUACUAGUAUUGACUUUAGAUAGCCGGGUCAUGACUCCCAACUAUCUAAACUCAAUACGACUAAAAUAAGAAAAUACAAUACUUCUCGAACUGUACAACCAACUCAAGCCCUCGAAUCAAAAGGACUCAUCACCUGCUCACUGGGAGAGGCGGACUGACUAAAUGUGGUAUCUGCACUAUAAUUUGUACUUACAUUAUAAGACACUAUAGCACAUAGAAAUAUAUAGGGGUCAGUACUUUAAGGAAUGUACUGAGUAUGUGGAGGUGCAAUGUAACAUUAUAAAUAAUAUCAUAAAUGAUUAUGAAAAUCAUGCAUGCUGACGAUAACGACUUUCUUUGCUUGAAUUAACUGAAAUAUAUUCCUUGAAAAUCAUCAAUAGUAAUGCAAGCAUUAUAUAUCUCAUAAAUCAUUUUACUCAACUCAAACUCUUUAAUCAUGACUUAGAGUGACUCAAUAACUCAUGAAACUAGAACUCUUAUGGACUUGGGAGGUUUUUGUAACCGACAUAAACCAUAUGAGCUACAUGGAGUCCAACAUUUUGCCUUUCUAAGGAGAGAACCCUACAUUGGCGGGAGCGUCAUACUCUUGCCAGAGAUUACAACCUAAAUUUAGUGAUCACAAUCUCAUACUCGGCCUCUGGCCUAUAAUUAUCAAUAUCAAUCCUACGGUGGUACGUAGUUUCGGGGGAAAUACCAUAUUUCUCGCUCGGUGCUAAAUACUCCUCCCAGACACAAGCUCAGAACGCGUUAGGAAAUUCACCACAAACAUCACAAGGGUCUAUCAUGAAGACCAAAUCAAAUCUCUUUCUCAUUUAUCAAAUCAUAAUCAAUUUGUGGAUUCCUAACUCGACUCAAAUCAAAUCAAUCUUUCUCAAUAUCAAAAUGUAUCAAUUCAUUAAAUCAUGACAACAUCAAUAACUUUGGCUUGACACAUGUCUUGAAAGCACUUGAAAUACCAACUCAUGGUAGAAAUAUGAAAUUCACAAUAUUAAAUAUCAAGUCAUAAUUUGGAAAUUGUAAAAUAAUCAAGUAUCAAAAACUUCAAGAAUACAUCAUAGAACUCAUUCUUGACUCUCAAGCUCAAAUAUCAAUAUAUAUAUUCAAUAAUCAAACUUCUCAUAGAAAAGCUUAAAUCAUGACUUUUAUCUCAAAUCAUUCGAAAAUCAUCAACUCAUAAUAACAAUAUUCAACUCAUGGCAUAAGUUCUCAAUUUAAAAAAUAAAAUGAUGAAAUAGUCAUGUGUAUCAAUCUUGAAUAGCUCAAAUAUCAUAAAUCAUUAAUAAAGUAAUUUGGGUGUAAACCCACUUUGCAAAAUCAUGAAUUUCAAUAGUAGAAAUUAAAUCUUUGGGCACAAGAACGAAAGAAGUGCUCUUGUUCAAAUCUCACAUACCUUGGAUUAUUAUUUUAAGAUGAGCAAGCUUGAUUGAAAACUUUUCUUCACACUUUUGAGCUAAGUUCUUGAUGCCUUUGACUUGGAGGACUUGAUUCUUGAACAACUUGGUGAAUUCUUUGGAAGAUUCUUGAAUUUUCUUGUAGAAGAUUUGAUUUAGGAAUUUGGAAGAAACCCUAGUUGUAGAUCUUUCUUGGAAGAGAAAUGAAAAAAAAUGAACUUCUCUUCUCUACUUGGAUAUAUAUAUACAUAUAGGACCAAAAUGGACAAAAAUGAUCAAAAUUCUCUUGCGAAAAUGUUCCUUAAUUGAUGGAAAAAAAAUAGUUGACGACAUCUGUGACAAGUUGUCAGGCCCGUGAUAGGCCGUCACGAAUUGUCAUCACAAAAAGGGUGAAUUUUAUUAUUUUCUGCUUAAGGUUGACGAUAUUUUGUGAUAAGCCGUCACAAAAUGCCAUCACAAAAGGUUGGAUUUUGUGACUUUCUGCCUUAAGGUGACGACAUUUUGUGACAAGCCGUCAGGCUUGUGACAAGUCGUCACAAAAGGUCAUCAUGGAGUUUCCAGGCUGACACGCUAGAGUAAAAUAAGCAUAACUCUUUGUUCCGAUAUCAAAUUUUAACGAAAUUGGUAUCGUUGGAAAGAUAAUUCAAUUAUAUAUAUUUUGGUAGGUCAUGGGAUCAAUUAUUAGUAGUAUAAUGAGAUAUAUGAUCAUUUGAAGUUGGAUAAGGAAACAUCCUUCCCAAGAAUUCAAUUGGUAAGGAAUGUUUUGAUUCACCUAAUCGCUAGGACAUCUUUGAGGCCUUAAUACACAUCACCCUUGAUUAGAAAAUAACCAAAGCACUAUAAUUUAUUUCUCAUGAGCUUGAUUCAUGGUUGCACUAUUGGUUAGAGCCUUGGGGUAUUACAAAAUGGCUCUAACUCCCUCACCGGGUGUCCGAUUCGGGUGAAUCUUAUGUCGAUGGAAAGCUUAUCCAAUUAUCCACAUGAUAGAAAGUGGAAUUUAGAGAAAUACAACACAAUAUAAACAACAAUCACUUUGGAUCCAUAUUCACUCAAAAGACGGAUUUAGGCUUCAGAAACGAUCGGGGUAUUACAGAUAUAUUUUUAUCUCAAUUUUCUCUAGUUCUUUGCUCUAGUUUAUUCAAGCAUUGUUUUCUCUUAAUGUUUAGUGUGCAUUAAUAAAGAAAGGAGAGAAACACAUAGUUGGUGAUGCAUUGUAUCAAAAGUGAGAAAGAAAGAAAAAGAGUGUGAGUCAUAGCCAAAAAACUUGACUCGGUACUUUGAUUUGAUUCACAAAGAACUAGUAGAAUUUCCUGCAAUCCAAGGGGACUAGAGUAAGACCUACUCCCUCCAUUUCAAAAUAAAUGAAUUGUUGAGUUAUUUUUCAAUGUCCAAAAUAAAUGAGUUGUUCAUUUUUCAAAAGACAUAUUGAAAAUUUCUUUCAAUUUUACCCUUUUAUUUAAUGAGGUUCUUAAGUACUUCACAUUUUCUAGGAGAGUAAUUUAUAAAUAAUUAAAGGGGUAAUAGUGGAAACUAACAUCUAAGUUAUGCCCUAAAAUAUUUUUCUUAAGGGGUGUGUCAUACCCCAACAAUUUAAUAAUUUUGAAAUGAAGGGAGUAUUAGAAGUCCCAACCAGUAUAAAUAUCUAAUGUCAUUCCUUUUCAGCAUUUUAUUUUCUGAACUUUAUAUUAUUGGUUCAAUAAUCAUCUAUCUAUCUAAGCGAGUCAACUGUCAAUUCAGAAGGAGUUAUUCUUAGUUCAAAAUAAAUAAAUUUUUGAUAUAUUUUUUAAUACAAAAAUAAAUGAAUUGUUCAUUUGUCAAGAGACAUGUUGGAAAUUUCUUUCAAUUUUAUCCUUCAUUUACACUUUUUAGGUUAUGAAUUCCAAAAAACUUAAUCAGCUUUAUUUAAUGUGGCUGAAAUAUCAAGAAUAGUUUAAUAAUAUAUAAAAAGGUAAUAUGAAAUGUAAAGGGCAAUUUAUGUCCUAAUUAUUUUCCUUAAGAAGUGUGCAUUGAGACAAAAACUCAUUUAUUUUGGACUAGAGUGAUAUUAGGUAUUAGAAAGUAAUUUGAAAAAUAAGUAAUUAAUACUAAGGAUAAAACAUGAAAAAGAAAAAUACUCCCUCCGUUCCUAAUUAAUUGUCAUCUUUUUAAGUUGCACACAUCUUAAGAAAAACAUUAACUAAAAGGUACUCAUCUUUAUUUAAUGCUUUUUUUUUUUUUUGCACUAUAUUAAUAUUUUUUCACAUUUAUUACUAAGGAUAAAAGUAAAAAUAAAUAACUAAUUGUGCAUUAAUUUUAUAAAAUGACAAGUAUUAAAGAUCACCUAUUUUUAGUAAGGACGACAACUAAUUGGAAUGAAGGGAGUAUUUUUAUAUAUAAAAGUAAUAAAUAAAAAUAAAAAUUUAUUUUUGAAAUAGUACUGCCUCUGAUUUUUUAAAUUUUUCCCUUUUAUUUUUUACAGUCAAACAAUAUAAGCUUUGAUCAAAGUUUUAAGAUGUAUUUUUUAAUCAAAUUAAAAAAAUAAAAAAUUAUAAUUUAUAUUAUUUUUAAUGUAACUUUUGGAUAUCUAAAUUUUAGUAUAAAAAAUUAAAUUAAUCUAAUCUAAUUUAGGUUUGAAAUUUAAUCAAAUUAAUCCUUAAGAAAAGAAGAAUAAUUAAAAGGGAAUGAAAAGGUAUAAAUAAGCGAACCCGCGACCAAAAUAGGCUGCCCAUUUAAAAAAAAUAUCAAAAUAUGUCAUGUAUAUAAAGUGGUACCAAAAUAGGCUUAACUCACAAAAAAAGUGAGUUAUACCUCUUUUUUAACGAUACUUUGACUGACGGCGUCAUCUUUAUAAAAAGUGUAUAAUUCACUUUUUUAGUGAAUUAUCUUUUUUAUUUAUACGUGACUCACAGAAAAUUUAUUUAUACAUAUAACUCACAUUUUUUGUGUGUUAUAUCAAUGAAAGUUACAUAACUCACUUUUAAGUGAGUUAUCCUUUUUUGUUUAUACAUAACUCACAAAAAGAGUGAGUUAUAUUUAUUUUUAUAAUUUAUGUACAUUUUUAUAAAACUUACAUAUUAUGUGAGCUUUAUAUUUUUCUUUUAUAAUUUUUAUUUUAUAAAACUCACAUAUUUAUUUUUCUUUUUUCAAAAUAUGUGAGUUAUGCACCCUCUAUUUUUAUCUUAUAAAACUAUCAUAUGCCUCUAUUUUUAUCAAAUAAAACUCACUAAUUAUGUGAUUUAUUUAAAUAUAAAAUAAGUAACUCACUUUUUAAGUGAGUUAUCCACUUUACACACGUCACGCCCUGUUCUGACAACAGUCUUUAUUAGUGAUGUGAAAUAUUAAUAUAACUCUAAAAAUAUGUGAGUUAUGUGCACAACUUUGUUAGUGAUGUAAAAUAUCCCCUAAAAAAAAGUGAUGUAAAAUAUGAAUAUGGUGCUAAAAAUAUAUGAGUCAUACAAAACAAAUUAUCUAUGUAUAUUAUAAAGCAGAGGACAAAGCACCACAAUUAGUCAAGUGACAAACUAUUGAGAGGCAACAUGUCAAAUUUUAGGACAAAGUUUAAUGUUAUUCUAAUAAAAAAUUUGAAUUAAAGGAUAUUAAAUAUUUGAAUUUGAAAAUGUAUUAUCCGUUUUUAAAAAAAACCAUUAGCUUAGAAAUAGAAACUUAUGGUUGAAGAGUCCUAAAUAAACUCUGUGUAUUUCAUAAAUUUCUUCCUUUUAUAUACUAUAAAAUAUAUUUGAAUAUAUUUAAUUUAAUAAUAAAAAUAGUAAAUAGUAAUAUGUGUAAUGAUUCUUACUAAAACAAAAAUGUGUAUUAAUAGUAAUAGUGUGGUGAUAAUAAUAAUAAUAAUAAUAAUAAUAAUAAUAAUAAUAAUAAUAAUAAUAAUAAUAAUAAAAAUUUAGAAAAAGUAGUAACAGUAGUACGAAGUAGUACUGUUAUAAUAAUAAUAAUAAAAAAUAAUAAUAAUAAUAAUAAUAAUAGCAAUAGUAGUAGUAUUAAUAGUAGUAGUAGCAAUAGUUAAUAAAAAAAUACUAACAUGGAUUGUGGUGCAGUGGAUGGGGCUGCUCAACCCUUAACCAGAGGUUGGGGGUUCGAUCUUGGGUACGGAGAAAACUCUGUUAGGGUGCGCUUCCCCCCGAAUGGGGGCCAUACGCGGUGCGAAUUUGGAUUAGUCGGGCUCCAAUGCGAGUACUGAACACAGGAUAGGAAACCAAAAAAAGGUAGUUAAUAAUAACAGUAAUAAUAAUAAUACUUUCAUUCUUAAAUAAAUUAUUUUAGCCUUUUCAUUUUGUCCGUAUAUAAAUGGUAUUUUGAAUUUAUAUGAAGAUAAAUGGCACAAAUUAUGUUGGAGAUAUUAUUUUGAAUUAUAACACAAAUAUUAAAUUGAUAAAUAAAAAGUUAAGUUUAAAAUUUGAAUUCAAAAUGAGACAUAUAAAUGUUUGAAUUAAAGAAAAGAUAAAGAUCAUAUCCAAAACUAAAAUUGAAAAUACAAAGCAAAUUUUAUUUAGCUAUUUAGUAAGUUUUUAAACUUUUCAAUUCAAACUAAAAAGAUAUAAAAACUAUUUAAAAAAAGUCUUUUGAAAUAUAAAGAGAUAACUUUAUUAAUUUAUUAGAUCUAGAGAUAAUAACUCUCUAAAUAAGAAACAAGAAUAUGUAGUAUAGUUUAUUUGGAACUCUUUCACAGCCCUCUUAAGCUUAUCCUACUAGAUAUUAUAAUCUCAUGCUAUUUCUUAUUUUAGAAUUUUGAAAUUACAACUUUUUUUUAUCCAAAUCAAUAUGUCAACUAGCAUAUAAAUGGAGAUAUAUUUCAUUAUCUCUCUCUUUUUACUAUUAACAAAUAGCUUCUUCUCCUUUUUUAUUUUAUUUUAUAGUUCAAUUUAUUUAUUUAUUUUAAUGUCCAUAUAUUUUUUUAUGUGUAAUUUUGAGGUUUAAAAAUAUCGUAUUGAUUAGUUUAAUGAAAUCAAAUAUUUAUCUUCUUAAUUGUUAUUGUGUUGAUUAAUUUUCUUGCAGAUAUACAAACGGCUUGACAUGAAGUACAUUAGAAAAAUAAUAUUAAUAUGUGAUAGCAACAGGUGAAUAACCUUUUUUAUAUGCUUCAAAUUAUUAUUUUCAGUAAUUAAAGUAGCAGUAUAUUAUAUGCAGAAAAGUAAGAGAAAUUAUGCAAAUAUAUUUUCAUUAAGCCAUUGCAUAAAAAAUUAUUAAUUAUUAUUAUAUAAAUUUGAUUAUGUUGUUCAAGAAAGCAGCAUGUUCAAUUGGUCAAAUUGCAGAAUUUGAAGAUUUUAAAUGGAGGUACGAUAUUAGUUCGAAAAUAUUCAUGAAGACAAGAUAUUCAAUGAAAUGUUGCAAUUGAAAUUACUUAACAAGAUUUGUUAUGUGAAAUCUGAUGAAAUUUAGUGAAUUCAAAAAAAGUGAGGAACAUGUCAUGUAUUUGAAAUAUAUCAUGAAAAGUUAUGUUAAAAGUUCAAUACUUUUAUUGUUGUUGUUAUAUUAUUGUUGUUUACAAUUAGCAUUAUAUUUAUCUAUUGUUAUAGAUGUAACUAAAACAAUUUGAAGUUUCUAUAUAUGAUGUAUACAAAUACCUCAUAAAUGUUAAAUAAAUAGUUGGACCUUUUCUUUUAAAAUAAUAUGAUUUAACACGUUUGAAGUAUUAUUAAGAAACAACACAAAUAAGUAAAGAUAUAAUUAUGAGUAUUGUGAUGGGGGAGGAUGAGCAUAGAGAAUUGUAGUGAUCGAAACAGGGUGGAAUGAGUAGGGUGCGGGUGGGGCUAGGCUAGGUAGUGAGGGGGUAGGCAGAGUGGUAAAUGUAGGUAGCAUUUGGGGUAGAGAAGAAAAAAAAUCUAAUAAAAAGUAAAAAUAUUAAUUUAUUUUAUUUUAUUUUUGGAGGGGGGGGGGUUACUAUAGGGGAUGGGAGUAAGAAAUUCUUUUAUAAAGAUUCUCAAAAAUAACAAUAAAAACUUUUGAGAAAUGCGAGGGGGGCAGGUGUUAGGUAGGAAGUCGGGGCGGAUGAUAAGGAUUAACGGUGGUAGUGUAAAGAAAAAAGUUCUUAUAAAAAUAAAAUAAAAUUUAUCUUUUUGUUUGGGGGAAGGAGGGGGGUGAGAAAAAAAUUAAAAAAUUAAAAGUCCAAUAAAAUUUUGGAGUGGGUGGUGGGAUAUAGGCGAGGGAUGAAUGUGAGAUUUGGCGGGAUAGGUGAUUUUGAGAGUAACAUAAAAAAUUUUAAUUGAAUUAGUGUAGAAGAUAUAAUAAUAAGUAUAAAUAAAAUGGUUAAAAGAUAUUAAUGAUGAAAUAAAACAAGAAACAAAAUCACAAUAAUAGAACAAAGUCUGAAUUUGAAGUUGUGAAAUAAAAAUUUAGAAUUAGAAGUUUUGUAAUUGACAAAGUUAAGUACUUUUAGUGUUUAAAAUAAAAUAAAAUUUUGAUUUUAGUUUCUGCAGAAACAUGUGGAUGAUGACUUGUAAUGUGUUGUGCUCCAGAUAAGUGGGUGUUGCGAUACUUAACAAUUUCAAAUCUAUUACAACUUUUAAGCUUUGUAGCUCGCAGCCACCAAUCACAAUUUUAAUCUACGCAUCUAGCAUAAUACAAUUUGUACAAUUCUUCACUGAUUUGAAUCUUUGAUCUUUCUUCACGGAAGCAAGCUUCAACAAUUUAAUUAAUUCUCGCUUGUCCUUGAAAAUUUUACCUUUAUAGAAUCCUGUGCUGUCAUCAUCUAUGUGGCUGCUUUGCGUUGGUAUAGAAUGAUGUGCAAUUUCUUCAUUUAUCGAAAUAUCCAUAAUAAUAUGAUGAUCUUCAUUAUUUGGAACUGAAUUUGUUGUUUGUAUCAUCAUUUCAGCCACAUGUAUUAUUAAAAUGGGCCUACUUUGAUCAUCCAAAAAAAUCGCAAAUCACGAUCGUCUCUUAUCUCAGAAGGAGCUUUUUUUUUUCACAAAGCCAAGCAUGUAACUAAUGAAGAGAUCAUCUUUAUCACAAGUUAACGCAAACCUAAAAAUAAUGAUCUCAACCAACUCCUCAUACGUAAUAUUCACACGUAUCUUUAUAGGUACAGUCUCUCGGCCCUUCGAACGCCAAGUAUAACGAGUAGGAUUUUCUAUCCAUUCACCAUGUAAAUCAAUUCCUAUUUUUAUUUGAUCUUCCAUAGAUGGGCACAGUACCUGAAGACAUCAUUGUUGACACACAAUUUUGACCUCCCGAUAUCACUUUUAGGCUGUUAUUUAUCAAAAUUAUUUAACCUUAAUUAUUAAUAUUUAUACAUAUUAUUUCCAUAUUUAAUACAUACUAACAUGUCCCAUCUGUAACUUAUAAAAAUACAUAAAUUAUUUUAUUAUCUUUUUAUAUAUAAUUUUUAAAUCAAAUAUGAUAUUUUACGUAAUUUCAUUAAUUAAAUUAUUUUUCACGUAAUUGUACACUCACAGUGUUACAAAUACAUUGUCUGAUUUUUCAUUAUUUAAUGUUAUUUAUUGAUAUUAUUAUUUUUAUUUACUAACAUUGAUAUCGUAUGUAUUAUAAUUCCUACUAAAUUUAAAUAACAGCCUAAUUUUAAAAACCAAUUUGUCCAAUUUAUUCAACUUAUAGCCUAAUCUUUACAAAUUGAGUCAAUUUUGGCAACUUCAAGUUAAAUUUAGUCACAAGUAUUUCAUUUUUAACCAACUCAAGUUAUUAAUUCUAUUUUAAUCCCAACCGUUGAUCGAAAUUGAUCCAACGGCUGAGAUCUCUCAACCUUUUCUUUCCGUUUUAAUAUCCCAAAACCCUAAUUUCUUUCCGUUUGCUUUUAAUUAUCUUAUCGCUUAGCUAAAUAGUAAAUUAAUAAUAAAAAAAGAGACUUUUAUUUGAUUACAUAGAAUCCCAUAUAAAGUAUGAAUUCGGCCGGGAACUACUUUUGUGGACCUCGAAAGGUGCCUAACACCUUUCUUUUGAGGUAAUUUGAACCCUUACCCGAACUCUGGUGAACUAAGACUAAAUAACAAAAAAUAGGUUCGUAGUAUCCUAGACCGGUGCCCUAACGCACCUUAAUACGUUAGGUGGCGACUCUCAUACCCUUCCUUAAAGCAUCUCAAAAAGAGUUUGUCAAGUCGAAUCCCACCUUCUGCGAGGAAAACGGGGAGCGACAGAAUGGCGACUCUACUGGAAAUUAUUAGGUUCUGACCAUUACGAAUUUGUGCUUAUGUGGGAUUCUCUUUAUUUGUUUUUAUGCUUGCUUUUGACAUGGUUCAUUCUAUAUAUAUUUAAUGUUUAUUCACAUCAUUAUUUAUUUGUCUCUUCUCCUUCUCUAUUUUUAUGUGUUAUUCAUGUUUCUUCAUGACUACUUUUGCUUUUAUUGAUGAUCAAUUUAUGCAUGAUAAUCCCUUCUCCUUCCCUUUGUUAUGUGUCAUUUACGUUCCUCUAUGCCUACUUCUUCUUUUAUUGAUUAUAUAUUUUUAUUUUUGCUAAAGCAUACUAUUAUGUGUUCCUAUGUGCUACCUGUUAUUGUUUUAUAUAACUGGCAUAGCGCUUAUACUUUCCUCCUUUUGGAACCUCUUUUGUUUUCUCUUACAAACGGUUACGUGAAUACACAGACGUUCAUUCUUAAAAGACCCUUCGGGAAAUGUCUUGUUGAUCAUUCGAUCAGUGGUGCGUUGACAGCCACAAGCUUUUCCACUCUCAAGUUUUCCACUUGAGGGAACCAUGUCAAAAACCUACGCUUGUCCUUUAGGUUUUGGCUACAUAUUCCUUUUACUAAGGAAUAUGCGUCCCAUUCAACGUAGGGUGCCUUGGCUUCCUUAACGCAUUGAAUGUUAGUCUCAUUCAAAGUCCAAAGAGGUUCACGACCUCAAGAAGACUUACACUUAUUUGCUAUGUGUUGCAUUUCUAUGUAUGGAUUGACAUCUUGCCUAUCUUGUUGUUUCGUUCUUGCCUUAGUCACUCCUUACAUUUAGUGUUCCUCACUUUAGAGCUCGUUACUCUUAAAAUUCUUGUCAUGUUAGGACCCUACAAUACACUCUUAGGGCCUAUUCAAUAUCCUCCAAUUCAUCCCCACCCGCUAUUCAGCUUCCACAACUCUUAAAUUUUUGAAUUACGUCUGACCUGAUUCUUGUUCCAACAAGAUACAAUCCUUUGUAAGGAUGCGGUCUUCCUUUUCCCUUUCUUUUACAAAACGUCCUAAUAUUUGAAAAUAUGAAACAAUCGUUACAUUCCAACAAUUCUUCUAUCAAAUCAUAUUCUCCAUAUCUUUCACCUUUCCAUAAUGUCAUAAGGGUACAACUUAGAAGUUUUUUAUUCAAAUGACUUUUCACAAUAUUUUAAAAUCAAACAUUUCAAAGUAAAUACUUCAAAGUUCUCAAAACUUUGUCAAUCUUCAAUUCUCCCAUUUGUUCAAAACAAUUUCUUUAAACAUUUUUAUGCACAUCUCUGCAAUAUCUUAUCAUUAUUCACUUAUUUACUCAAUCAGCUUCAAGUACGAAUUUAGUAUCGAAGUCUUUGUUAGAAUCUAUUAGAAUCUAUCUUCCAUCUUGUGCUAUCAAUUCAUUUUUAAAGCUUAAGUUCUAGCCCACAUUCGUCCUAAAGUCCUCCUGGACAAAAUGACUCAUAUUGACAUACUAUCUCUUUUCGCAUUGAGUACGCUGAUAUUUAUUUUAGUUUACUAUUUAUUAUUUAAAGGUUGUCUAGCGUUUGAACAUCGACUCGAUUGAAAAUCUGCAAUUUGACAAAUAUGCUCAACAUUCGAAAAGUCUCUAGCCCUCCUUCUCAUCGCUCAAGACAAAACGUUGCGCCUCCUAAUCCUCGCCCUACCCUCACGAACUACGUUUGACCUGACUUCCAUUUGGAUACGUAGGCAGCCCACUUUGGGUUCAGUCUUUAUCUAAUAAAACAUUUGCUUUCCCCUCUCUUUCAAAUUUUUACACAUUCAAAUUGUCAAGAUAAUUAACCCAACUCUUGAGCAUAUAAAGGCAGAUUACAAUUGAGGUUACGACAUUAAAAUAUAGGACAACCAUUUCUCUUGAACUAAUAUUUUCUUUGAGUGGUGCAGGAAUAUAAGGCUCCAACUGGGGCAUGAAACCUCAAAAAUUUCACGAUUAAACAAUAUAUCAAUUCACAAUGACGUGCAAAAGGUGCCUUUCAUUCUAAACUAGGCCAGAAAUUUUUUAGAAUUCCUCAAAAAUUUCACAAGUAAACAAUAUAUUCAUUCACAAAUGACGUGCCAAAGGUGCUUUACAUUCUAAAUUGGGGAAUUUUUUUUUGAGAAUUUCUCAAAAAUUUCAUCACGAUGGAGUACAAAUCCCAACGGUUCAUGGAGUAGAAAACAACAACCAAGGAGUCGACUCGAGCAUGGUACAAAUUCACAUUUCUUUUGACUGAUGACUUUUCUUUGAGUACAGGAACAAGUAACAGGUACAGAUGACAAUAAUCACUCCAUCACAAGAGACCCAACAAUAUAAGGUGACAGGAAUUACUUCAUCACGAAGGAACACGAUAGACAAUCCAACAUCAUGACGAGAAGCCACGCAGUUAAUCCGACAACAAGACAUAUACGAUUUUCUAUCUUCCAUUAUCUUUACUAUUACGUUUGUUUACUACAAUAUUCAAUCCUCUAUGCAUACACAUAUAUUUACUAAUUAUUUUUGUCGAGUCAAGCUACAAGUGGCAGGUACGGGCCACGAUUUCACGAUGGAGAAGCUCAAAUGCUGAUCCGUCAAUGGAGAAGCUCAAAUGUUGAUCCGAUGAUGGAGAAGCCCAAUGCUGAUCCGACGAUGGAGAUGCUCAAAUGCCGAUCUGACGAUGGGAAAGCUCAAUGCUAAUCCAACGAUAGAGAAGCCCCAAUGCUGAUCCGACAAUGGAGAAGCUCUAAUGCUGAUCCGAAGAUGGAGAAGCCCAAAUGCUGAUCUGACGAUAAAGAAGCUCCAAUGCUGAUCUGACGAUGGGGAAGCCCAAAUGCUGAACCAAUGAUGGAGAAGCUCCAAUGUUGAUCUGACGAUGGAGAAGCCCCAAUGCUGAUCCGACAAUGAAGAAGCUCCAAUGCUGAUCCGACGUUGGAGAAACCCAAAUGUUGAUCUGACGAUGGAGAAGCUCCAACGCUGAUCCAACGAUGGGGAAGACCAAAUGCUCAACCGACGAUGGAGAAGCUCAAAUGCCGAUCCGAUGAUGGAAAAUUCCAAUGCUGAUCCCACGAUGGAGAAACUCAAAUGUUGAUCCCACGAUUUCAUAAUAUAUGGAGAAAACUCAAAAGCUGAUCCCACGAUGAGAAACCAAAUAGCUGAUCCAAUAUCGAGAGAUUUAACAGCCGAUCCAAUGUCAUAUCGAGAAGCCAAACAGCUGAUUCAACAUCAAGAGGUUCAACAGCCGAUCCAACGUCAUAUUGAGAGGCCAAAUAGCUGAUCCAGCGCCACGAUCCAAUGUCAUCCAACAGUACAACAGAUAUGUUUUCUUUACUUCUUACAUUCACUUUAUGUUUUUAAAUGAUUAUCAUUUACAUGACUUAACCUUGGUUAUCAAGUAUACCAUGAAGUAUGCAGGUAACAGAUAAAAAAUAACAAACAGAGACAAUUUUCAUUUCUGUUUUCGAAAUAUUACUCCAUCUGUUCAUCCACCACAUGAACUCAUCCAUCACUUCACCUACCUCAAAGUUUUCAAAUUACUCCAAAUCCUAUUCAUUACCAUCUCACCGAUCCAUGAUACCAUUGUCAACGCCCCAACCUUUAUCAUUAACAUUUUUUAGGAAUAUUAUUCAUUCCUAAAUCUAGAACUACAAAUGGCCUGAUUCUCGUAAAAACAGAGAUAUGUAGGCGACUUAAAGCCAAAGUCUCGGCCACACUAUUUUUAACACUUUCCGUGCUUUCUUUCUAGCAAACUAUCAUCUCGGUCGGACAAAAUUGGCCACUACGUCAACUUUCGUUACUUGAUAAUUCUUUCAUCAUUCUCAAACAACGAAGGGGCAGCUGUUGACACCCAAUUUUGACCUCCUGAUAUCACUUUUAGGUCGUUAUUUAUCAAAAUUAUUUAACCUUAAUUAUUAAUAUUUUUUACAUAUUAUUUCCAUUUUUAAUACAAACUAACGUGUCUCAUCUGUAACUUAGAAAAAUGCAUAAAUUAUUUUAUUAUCUUUUUAUAUAUAAUUUUUAAAUCAAAUACGAUAUUUUACUUAAUUUCAUUAAUUAAAUUAUUUUUCACGUAACUGUGCACUAACAGUGUUACAAAUACAUUGUCUGAUUUUUCAUUAUUUAAUGUUAUUUAUUGAUAUUAUUAUUUUUUAACAUUGUUAUCGUAUGCAUUAUUAUUCCUACUAAAUUUAAAUAACAGCCUAAUUUUAAAAACCAAUUUGUCCAAUUUAUUCAUCUUAUAGCCUAAUCUUUACAAAUCAUGUCAAUUUGGCUAUUUCAUGUCAAAUUUAGCCACAGUUGUUUCAUUUUUAACCAACUCAAGUUAUUAAUUCUAUUUUAAUCCCAACCGUUGAUUGAAAUUGAUCCAACGGCUGAGAUCUCUCAACCUUUUCUUUCCGUUUUAAUAUCCCAAAACCCUAAUUUCCUAGAAAUAUUUUUUCAUCCGCCUCCAAAACCCCUCUCUCCUCUUUCUCUCUACCUCUCUUCUCUCCCUCUAAUCCCCCUCUCCUCCUCCUUCUCCCCAUCGUCCCUCUCCUCCGGCGAACCAAGCGUCGUCACAAAGCAGCAGCAACAGCCACCACGAGCCGCCUUCGUCCUCUGAUCAACGUACCACCGCCGCACCAGCCAUGGCACCUCCAUCAACGAAGGCCACAACAACGCCGUCAUCUCCGUACUCCUAGUAGCCACGCCACCACCAACAGCAGCGAUUCAACCCCAGCGCUGCCUUUCCUCCGUCACCAGCAGCCAUGGCGCCACGCCAGUCGCCCAAAGCAGCACCAACAAUAACGGACCUCCCCUCCGUCCAAUCUAUCCGUCUCCUCACUGUCGUCGCUGCUUCACUCUUCCCUCCCUGGUCGACAAAAGACCCCAUUGUCACUGUCUAGUUGUCAUAACCAGCAAGGCUUUCGACAAACAUAUACUAUUUCUAUCUGGUUUGAUUUCUCAAACUCUUAAUUACAUGGUUGUUUGCUUUGGUUAACAUGCAUGAUUGUUUGCUAUGGUUGCAAAUCGAAGCCCUGCAGCUUUAUAAAUUACGAUGCUGUGACUCUGAAUUUUGUUCCUAUUUGUUAAUUUUCGGGCUUAUGUUCGUCUCCAGACUGACAUACCUAUUCAAAGCCCCAAGUUUUAUUAUUUUAAAUUCGUAAUUUGAAGUGUGAUACCUCUAACUCUGAUAUCCUUCACUUACGGGUAAAAGUUGUUACUGUUUGGUCUAAAAUGUGCUUGGGUGAUCUGUUUAAAAUUUGAAUUUGCAGCCAAGUAUUACGACAGCUGAUUAUAGUAGGCUCUGGUUUAUUUACAAUCAAGUGGAAUUUUUUAUUGAUAUAUGAUUGGGAUGAAAUUGUGUGAUAGCUCUUGUCCUUGCUUAUUUUAGGUAAACUGGGUAUGUCUGUGAUUUUCCUAAUCUUUAUUCUUGUAUGGUAUGGAAAGUUUUUUUUAACAAACUGGACUGAUUUAUGGUAAUUACCAAUGUUGAUAUGUUUUCUACCAUUAGUACUUAUUCCCUCCUAAAUUAGUGCUUCCUUGUACUCAUCUCUCGUCUAUUUACGGUAAACCUGCUUACAAUUGAUUCUCCUUACUUAACUAAGGAAAAUAAUAUUAUGGAUUGAUUAUCAGCUUAUUACCCUCUCCUUAAUUGAUUCUGAUUUAGUGAAAAAAUAUUUUUCUCUCCCUUUACCCUCUAAUCCCUUUUACUAUAUAAACUCAUUCCUUUUUUUUCAUUAAGGAAUAAGUUCACAAGCUCUCACUUCUCAAGUUCACUAGUUCACAGGCUCUUAAGCUCUUAAACUCUUAAGCUUUUGACAUUACAAUUACUACUACUCUCUAAGGCAAUUAAAUAUUUUAACGUGUUUCUCUUUGGAGGCUACUGUUAAUAUCUUGCAUACUUCAACUAUUACGUGUGCUUGGAUUUUGGCUCCUAUUGUUCUUAUUCUCUCUGUACUGCUGUUCACUGGUGAGUUCUUGAACGAUGUAAUUUUUCAUUCUCUAUGUGUGUUGAUUGCAUCGUGUUCUAAAAACCUUCAGAAAGCAUGUUUUUAGGAAUAUUUUGAUAUUUGCUACAAUGUGUUCCUGUCUGCUUGCCAUUAUAAUAUGUUUCGCAGGUUAAACAGACACACACAAGUUCCAAAGAGUCUCCGGAAUAUUUAAACUAUGUAAAUUUUAACUAGUUGUUUUUGCUUUAUUUCUAUUUGGUCUGUAAUAUUAUUGUAAACAUUCCUAUCAUUGUAAUAAUAUAAUUCUGGGGACUGCUUUGGGGGCGGAAAUUUACGUGCUCUGUGCACAAACUAGGAUUAUGUGCAAUACGUGCUACGUGGAUCAUCUAGGAUUCAUUAACAUAUGCAAUGCUGAAUUUGUUUCCAACGAAUUUGAGUCGAUCCCGAUAUAUUAACAUAAUUUUUGCAUUAGGUGUGAACGAUUUAAUAUGCCUAUCUUGUUAAAACGAAUAUAAGCAUAUUAACCUGACAUUAUGUAUUAUAGCAUAACGGGCACACUAAUUCGACAUAAACAUAUCAAUGUAUCUUCUGGUAUGUAAUAUAGUGAAUCUUAAGCAUAUUGACAUGUUGAGGUAAUUAUCGUUGAGCAUGUUAACUUAUUGUAAGCAUGUUAAAUUAAGUGAAAAUGGUUAAUACAUUCACUUUUUUCGCUUAUCAUUAUUUUAGGCUACUGCAAUUUUCAGCAUGUUUAUAUGGUAUUUCGGCACAUUAAGAUAAAUCUCAGCAUGUUUAAAUAAAUUUCAGCACGUUUAAAACAUGUUUUUGUGUACCUAUACAAAUUUAGCAUGUUAUUAAUAUUAGAACAUUAAAAUUCUGUGCAUCUAAUAAAUUUCAGCAUGUCAUAACUACUUUUAGCAUGUUAAAGUUUUUGUAUGUUGGCAUAUCUCUAUCACGUUAAAAUAUAUUAGCAUGUCAAAAUAUUUGUUUUUAGCCAUCUUUAGUAUGUUGGUAAAUGUUUAACGUCACUAUGAAAUUCCAGCAGUAAUACAAUUGGUGUUAUAUAAAAAUACAUACUUUUAAGCACUUUUCGGUUCGUUUAAACACUAGAGUAGGUAUAUUAUGGCAUCCUUAACAUGUUAGUGUUUUUUAAUAUUCUUGUUAAUUUCUCUUAUUCUCAUUAGUUUGCAACACUUAAUUCACAAAAUAUUUCUCGACACAUUUGUGACACCCUCAUGAACACGCAUUACAUUGUUGCAUGCACGAAUCACAGUUGUCUUUUAUCAUCACUUGAUUGAACCUUCAGACAUCAUGCCUAUAGGUUAAUGACAUUAUAUAAUUGUCUGUCUUCGCAUGCUAUCACGUUAAUAAACGUUAAUUAAUCAAGAGGCUAACUUGGAAUUAUUACGUGCUACUUGUUGUCCAAUAUAUUCGCGUUUUGAGUCCUAGGCAACAUAGCUUUCUUUUAGUCUAGAACACAAAUCCAAAAUAGUAAAGUCCAAUGCCUCUUGGACAAUAGUUGGGACGAUAAGUAUUACUAAAAACAUUAGUUUUGUCCUUGUCAUAGAACGCUCUUAGAUUUGACAUCCAGCCUAGGUGGGGUGAGAUGGGUUGCCCUUUUCGAAAAUGAUGAUCCCAACAAAUAUUAAUGGCGAGUCUAAUGACAUUAUUACUCGUCUAAGAGUUCGGCCUUUGGGUCGGAUGGUGAUUAACAAGUUGAGUUUCUGAUCCGAAUAAAAUCAAAACAUCUCUUUGUUUAACUCGGACGAUUUCUUUUAGUCUUUUUAUUUAUUUUACAUGUUUAUCUGGGUAGCUAGUUUAUUAUAAAGCAGUCCCCUUUUUAUUAUAAAUUAUGUCGUUUCUUUCUCCUCUCUUAUCUUAUUUCUAUGUUUUUUAUUUAUUUUAUCACCUAGAUAAUCGAUAAUUAGCAUUAACAAAUGACAUGUGUUUGCUUUUAAUUAUCUUAUCGCUUAGCUAAAUAGUAAAUUAAUAAUAAAAGAAGAGAUCUUUAUUUGAUCACAUAAAAUCCCCAUGUAAAGUAUGAAUUCGGCCAGAAACCACCUUUGUGGACCUCAAAAGGUGUCGAACACCUUCCUUUUGAGGUAAUUUAAAC
rnacentral:lncRNA from 1 species